UUCUAGAUUUGUGGAUCCGUGCACCUGCCAGACCUGUCUCUGAGCCAUCUGGGGAGGCUGGGUCGGCACAGACGCAACCCAGUCUCCUCCCACCUCCGAGAGUGCAGUGUCCUGAAUGGAGAACCCCAGCACCCAGAAGCAUCCACUGAAGGACUAAAUUCUACACAUGAAGGCAAACGUCCGUGGUUGACAGAAAUUACACUGGCCAGAAUCCCCAGUCCCCAUGAGGCUUGUCCAGACGCAGUGAACCAGUCGCAGCUGAUAACACACAGACCAUUCCCGAUCCCAGAGGUGCAUUUCAGGAUUCAUUCUAUUUCAUCAGAGACGGGGUCUUCCUGUGUUGCCCAGGCUGGUCUCGAACUCCUGGGCUGAAGCAAUCUUCCUGCCUUGGCCUCCCAGAGGGUUGGAAUUGCAGAUGUGAGGUACUUCUUUGAUAGUGCCUCCAUGCAUGCAGAAGAUGACGUGGAGAGCUCCGCGCGGCACAGGGCAGGAAGCUGGUGUGCACUCUCAUGGAUCCGAAGCCAACACACGCCUCUCAACUGAGGACUCUGCCCCUCUGGCAUUCUUCCAGCCACCAGCCCUGGGGGCCAGGAGCCACUGAGUGGGUCACACAGCCUUAGAGGGCAACGAGGGCAGGAGCUCGCCCUGGCGGUCCCCAUGCAGACAAGAGGGUCACUGGCUUCCUUGCUUUGCUCUUCCUGGACAUCUUCCUCGACAUUCAUCUUUCCAUCCUACCAAGAGCGUGGAAACCACAGGGCAUGAGGACAGGCGGAGACAACGCUGGACCAUCUCACAGCCACAUCAAGAGGCUGCCCACAUCAGGGCUUUCUACGUGGUUGCAAGGAACACAAACCUGUGUGCUCCAUUUGCCCACUGGCACUAGGCCUCCUGCCCACCACCCGCUUCUAGGCUAUUCGAGCCGCAGGAGCUACAGGCUGCUAGAGAACCCUGCGGCAGGAUGCUGGGCGCGGUUCAGCUUUUGCCAGGGAGCAGCAUGGGACUGGGAUUUGGAAGGUGUACAGUGGCUGCGGGCUUUAGCAGGAGGAGUGUCUACAGCACCUUCUGCUCCUCCAGGUAACCUAGUGUUUUUAUCAGUAUCCAUUUUCCUGUGUGGAUCUCUUCUGCUUGAAACCUGUCCUGCCUAUUUUUCUUCCCUGGACCCUGACUGAUACACUCUUAAAACGAGAAAAGGGUACCGAUUUAUAAAGUUCGUGAAUUAAAAACUACACCAGUCAUGGAAACUCAAUGACAUCACUCAAAGAAAAUUCACAACUCUAGCCUUGAGUUAGCUCCCUCAAUAGUAUGAUGAGGUCAUGCAGAUAGAAUCAUACAGUUAUUAACAAAAGUAGUUGAUGUUAACCGAGUAAUCAGUUUUAUCUGUGUUCCUUUGAGACAGAGAGAGAGAGUGAGAAAGAGAGCGUGAGCAAGUGAGUGCACAUACUAUUGUUAAAGUCUUCUCUCUAAAGUUUUAAUAUCUGAUAUACCAUAAACACCCAGAUAAAGAACUUUAGAGAAACUGGUUAAAAAGAUUUAAAAUUCCCAACUGUAAUAAAUCCCUAAAAUGAAUACCAAAAAAAUGUUUUUAAAUUAAAAAAAGAGAGAGAAAGAGAAAAUGAAGGCAAACAUCUUACUUUGUAGGAAAGCAAACGCCUGUCAUCUUUAUCUAGCACGAAGCCAUCAUUCAGAUCAUCUGCUGACAUAUGUUUUGGUUUCUUAACAUUUUCAUCCUCAUCCUUUCCAAGCAUUCUUCGAAGUCUCUCAGCCUGAGCAGGAAGGAAUGAGAUGUCUUAGAGCACACUCUUCCAACAUAUGGUGAGGGGGCCGUGCAGUCCUGCCCUGGGCAGCGGGCUGGGCCUACGGUCCUCCCAGCUCUGAGGCUGGUGCAUCCAGCCUGCUUUCUGCCUGCAGUUUUCAAUCAGGCAUGCAAACACUAGCUAAGCAGCACAUUCCUCAUUUAACAAAAUCAACUGUUCAAACUUUGUGGCCAAUACUCUCCAGUCACCAGGCAAGCCUAUUAUUCUGAGGCCUUCACAGCCCAAUUCUGCUGGCCAGCCCCGACUGGGACUCAUCACCCCCUGCACCGAGAGAAUAGGAGCCAGGACGCCAAGAGCAAGCAGCUCCACGGCCUCCACUAUUUGACCACACACUGGACACGGGAAGAAGCUAGUGAUGUGGUUAUGUCAAAACAGCCAGCUGAGCCA
ensembl:lncRNA NOP14-AS1 NOP14 antisense RNA 1